CUGGGAGGACCAUCUCCUAAGGCUAAAUACUCUCUAGUGACCGAUAGUGAACCAGUACCGUGAGGGAAAGGUGAAAAGCACCCCGGAAGGGGAGUGAAAUAGAACCUGAAACCGUGUGCUUACAAGUAGUCAGAGCCCGUUAAUGGGUGAUGGCGUGCCUUUUGUAGAAUGAACCGGCGAGUUACGAUUUGAUGCAAGGUUAAGCAGUAAAUGUGGAGCCGUAGCGAAAGCGAGUCUGAAUAGGGCGUUUAGUAUUUGGUCGUAGACCCGAAACCAGGUGAUCUACCCUUGGUCAGGUUGAAGUUCAGGUAACACUGAAUGGAGGACCGAACCGACUUACGUUGAAAAGUGAGCGGAUGAACUGAGGGUAGCGGAGAAAUUCCAAUCGAACCUGGAGAUAGCUGGUUCUCUCCGAAAUAGCUUUAGGGCUAGCCUCAAGUGAUGAUUAUUGGAGGUAGAGCACUGUUUGGACGAGGGGCCCCUCUCGGGUUACCGAAUUCAGACAAACUCCGAAUGCCAAUUAAUUUAACUUGGGAGUCAGAACAUGGGUGAUAAGGUCCGUGUUCGAAAGGGAAACAGCCCAGACCACCAGCUAAGGUCCCAAAAUAUAUGUUAAGUGGAAAAGGAUGUGGCGUUGCCCAGACAACUAGGAUGUUGGCUUAGAAGCAGCCAUCAUUUAAAGAGUGCGUAAUAGCUCACUAGUCGAGUGACACUGCGCCGAAAAUGUACCGGGGCUAAACAUAUUACCGAAGCUGUGGAUUGUCCUUUGGACAAUGGUAGGAGAGCGUU
rnacentral:rRNA from 1 species